AAAGUCAAAGUCAUUUAUCCAAAUUGGGUACUUUUGUACAUUUUAUGAUUGUCAAACAAUGAUGUAGUGGUGAUAAUUAGUUACAAAGUUACAUUUUUCCAAA